rnacentral:rRNA from 1 species
GGUGCAUGGUUGUCGUCAGCUCGUGUCGUGAGAUGUUGGGUUAAGUCCCGCAACGAGCGCAACCCUCGCCUCUAGUUGCCAGCAUCGGUUGGGCACUCUAGAGGGACUGCCGGCGACAAGUCGGAGGAAGGUGGGGAUGACGUCAAAUCAUCAUGCCCCUUAUGACCUGGGCUGCACACGUGCUACAAUGGGCGGUACAAAGGGCUGCGAACCCGCGAGGGGGAGCGAAUCCCAAAAAGCCGCUCUCAGUUCGGAUUGCAGGCUGCAACUCGCCUGCAUGAAGCCGGAAUCGCUAGUAAUCGCGGAUCAGCAUGCCGCGGUGAAUACGUUCCCGGGCCUU